GACGAACGCUGGCGGCGUGCUUAACACAUGCAAGUCGAACGGAAAGGCCCUGCUUUUGUGGGGUGCUCGAGUGGCGAACGGGUGAGUAACACGUGAGUAGCCUGCCCUUGACUUUGGGAUAACUUCAGGAAACUGGGGCUAAUACCGGAUAGGAGCUCCUGCUGCAUGGUGGGGGUUGGAAAGUUUCGGCGGUUGGGGAUGGACUCGCGGCUUAUCAGCUUGUUGGUGGGGUAGUGGCUUACCAAGGCUUUGACGGGUAGCCGGCCUGAGAGGGUGACCGGCCACAUUGGGACUGAGAUACGGCCCAGACUCCUACGGGAGGCAGCAGUGGGGAAUAUUGCACAAUGGGCGGAAGCCUGAUGCAGCAACGCCGCGUGCGGGAUGACGGCCUUCGGGUUGUAAACCGCUUUCGCCUGUGACGAAGCGUGAGUGACGGUAAUGGGUAAAGAAGCACCGGCUAACUACGUGCCAGCAGCCGCGGUGAUACGUAGGGUGCGAGCGUUGUCCGGAUUUAUUGGGCGUAAGGGCUCGUAGGUGGUUGAUCGCGUCGGAAGUGUAAUCUUGGGGCUUAACCCUGAGCGUGCUUUCGAUACGGGUUGACUUGAGGAAGGUAGGGGAGAAUGGAAUUCCUGGUGGAGCGGUGGAAUGCGCAGAUAUCAGGAGGAACACCAGUGGCGAAGGCGGUUCUCUGGGCCUUUCCUGACGCUGAGGAGCGAAAGCGUGGGGAGCGAACAGGCUUAGAUACCCUGGUAGUCCACGCUGUAAACGGUGGGUACUAGGUGUGGGGUCCAUUCCACGGGUUCCGUGCCGUAGCUAACGCUUUAAGUACCCCGCCUGGGGAGUACGGCCGCAAGGCUAAAACUCAAAGGAAUUGACGGGGCCCCGCACAAGCGGCGGAGCAUGCGGAUUAAUUCGAUGCAACGCGUAGAACCUUACCUGGGUUUGACAUGGAUCGGGAGUGCUCAGAGAUGGGUGUGCCUCUUUUGGGGUCGGUUCACAGGUGGUGCAUGGCUGUCGUCAGCUCGUGUCGUGAGAUGUUGGGUUAAGUCCCGCAACGAGCGCAACCCUUGUUCACUGUUGCCAGCACGUUAUGGUGGGGACUCAGUGGAGACCGCCGGGGUCAACUCGGAGGAAGGUGGGGAUGACGUCAAGUCAUCAUGCCCCUUAUGUCCAGGGCUUCACGCAUGCUACAAUGGCUGGUACAGAGAGUGGCGAGCCUGUGAGGGUGAGCGAAUCUCGGAAAGCCGGUCUCAGUUCGGAUUGGGGUCUGCAACUCGACCUCAUGAAGUCGGAGUCGCUAGUAAUCGCAGAUCAGCAACGCUGCGGUGAAUACGUUCCCGGG
rnacentral:rRNA from 1 species